UUUUGUUUUUGUUUCAUCUUUGAUUUUCCAGCUGCUGUGCCUGAGCAGCCACCCAGAGACCCUUUGCUGCAGUUAGUCUCCCUGCAGGAGGCGUCUGGCUGCUGGCUGCUUGAUGCAGCUCUGGCUGCUGCACUGGGAAAGACCAACGAGGAGGUGGAAAAGUCAAAGCCUGAAAAGGCCAGCAGUGAAGUGUGGGCCACCAUUCUGGUGCUGAUCUAGCUUCAUGGUUUCAAGAUGGAUGCAAAGGACGAGUGGGAGCUUCUGGCUAUGAAGGCUGCCUCAUGGCUCCAUGGUCAGAAUGCACCGUGUGUGUCAGAGUGUGUGGAUGCUGGAAAUGUCCUGCUGGGUUGCAGCGUGAAGAAAGAAGCUCUGGGACUCUGAGGGAUUUCUUAAAGUAGCUUCAUCUUCAG